rnacentral:lncRNA from 1 species
AUGGUGGAUAUACCUGAACCGUUGCAGAAGAUUAUUUGCAGAGGCUUUGGUUUAUUUCAUACAGGGCACACUCAGAGCUGUCAAGAGCUGAGAGGUUUCUGCCAAGUUCCGCUAAGUAAGCCAUGCCGUUAUGCAUCCCUCCCAGCCAACUGUGGCAUCAAUGGGAGAUGCUGUGCAAAAAAACCUCUGACCGUAGAGGACUGCGCAGCCCUGGGGGGUUACUGCCACGUUCCCUUGAGCGAGGAAUGUCCCUCUGGUGUCAGCUAUCCAGCCAACUGUGGUAUUAACGCAAGAUGCUGCAAACCGCUCUCCUGAAGGAAGACACGGGCCAUUCCUUGUGGAGCCCAAGCCACACGAUCAGGAGGUGAAAUACAUGGAAUAGUGAAAUCAUCCGCCAAUUAAACGCUGAUUAAACAUAAGAUUUCACAACGUGUGUCUUUCAUUCCGAAUGCCGAUUGCAAAUUGCAGUGUGGAGAUGAGAGUGGUGUUCACCUAAUCCUGUUCAGGAUUAGGAGAGUUCACAUAAUCCUGUGAACUCUGUUUGUUUACAUGAACAUAUCUGUGGUAGAAACACUCAUGACCAUGAUUUAAAGGAGUGACGUGCAGGAGGGGCGUCUUUUUCCCAACAGGUAGAAAUGAGGAAAGCAAUAGUCUAAAGGACAGGAUCCUCCACCGCCUUCUCACUCCACCUAUGGAGGUUGAUUGAACUGGCAGUUGAAUCUAAUCCCAUUGUUAGGAUAGGGAUAGGAUUCUCUUCAGUGGACAUCAUGCUACCAGGAAUUAGGAUUGCAUGAAGGUAAUGGGUUGACCAGCAUUGGUGGCUGGUGUUCCUUGCAGCUGGUGGGUCAUAAUGCAGAUGGGCAGAGCCAGGACUAAUCAAGUUGAGCUG